UCCUAUUAUCUCCUUUGCUUUCCGUUUUCUUCGCCAUCUUCUUUCGUGUUUUUUUUUUAUUUUUAAUUUUAUUAUUUAGUUAAGAGGAAAGUACAGAAACACCCUCGAAUUUGUCGUUGAAUUACGCAGACAAACACGGAAGCUCAUUGUGGAAAUUUCGUGAUCAAAGGGGGGAGGGGCAUCAUGUUCUUGUCGGUCAAAUCUGAAUCCUUUGUUUUGGUUUUGAGGUCUUUAUUGACAUUUUCAAGGUGUGCAUCUAUCUCUCUCAGUCUCAUUUAUAUGUUUAUUAGAUGCUAGAAUUGUCAAUGUUCCUUUUCAUAUCUUACUUAUUAGAAAAAAUUAUUCUGUUUAGUACAUCACUUAACAAAGUUGAAUGUUAACAAACUCACUACCGGAAAAAAAAUUAUAUCAAACACAAAGGAAAAGAAAGAAAAAUUCAAAAUCCAUGUUACAUAGUUAGUUAUAAGAACCAAUUGAAUCAUUGAUAAUGUAAAAUGUUAAUAGUUGCGAUAUUCGAUAUAUUUAUUAGCUCUAAAAUGUAGUACUAAUAUGAGAUAACUGUAAAACAAAAAAAAAAGUUCAUUGUACAUCGUUUUCUAUUUUUAUGAUUGAUUUCGAUAAAAGUGGUAUACGAAAUUAUCAUUUUAUUUUAUAAAAAGAUUCAAGUUACUAUUCAUAAUUUUUCUUUUAAUGAUUUGUUGCAUUAUCAUUCAAAACAAUUUUGAUCUAGUUCAACCACACAAAAUUAUGAAUUUAUUUGUAGUUCUAGCUAUAUUGAUCUUAGCUUACUCUUAACUUCAAAUCUAGUUUCCUACCAAUGGAUGAUUUACACCAAACAUAAACUAUUAAGAAAACACUUAUCAAAAGUAUAAAUAGAAAAGUUAGAGAGCAUGAUGAACUGGAACAAAUUUUGUCAAAGAUCCAAGUUUGACCAUUUGGUGGGAAAACUUCUUUUUUGACAAUUGAUGAAAGAAAAAAAAAAGCAUUCAUGUUUCCUUGGUCUUAGCUUUUUAAAUGUUUCUCUAUUUUAUAUAAUUUAAAAAAAUUUCAGACUUAAAUUGGCUUUAUAAUUAUUACCUAAUAGUGUAGCUUUACUUAUUGUGUUUUGUUUUUUUUUCUUUAUAAAUAUAUAAUUUUUCUGGAAACAUCAAUAUUAAAAAUCAAUGAUGAUAAUGAUAGCAGUACUAGCAUUUUGCAGAAGACAACAAAAUAAAUAUUAAUAUUAAUUUCUUUUUGUUCAAUUAUGCAUGGGACAUACAUACUUUUGGCUGUUGUAUGGAUUUAUAUUGCUUAUUUUGUGUUAUCUUUAGACUCAAUUAUUUCAAUGUCUAGAUGUACGAAUGUAUUUUAUCCAAUCGUAUAUGUAUACAAUAGCAACUUGUAUAAAUGUUCAUAUACACUAAUACACACUCGGUUUUAGCUGCAGUUUUCACUGUAAUAAGUUGUUACGAACUAUUUAGGUUAGUUUCAAGAUUGCAGAAAAAGAAAAAAGAAACAAAAGCGUUGUGUGAUUUUGUAAUUUUAUACCUGUUACGUUUUGUAUGGAAUCGUAAAAUUCACAAUUCGAAUGAGACAAUAUACAGAUAUCUAAUUUUCUAAAAUAUUUUAAAUUUUUGUUGUUUCAUUGUAGUAUAUGUUUUCUAUAGUAAUACUAUUGGUGCAUAGUGAAAUGAAUCAGAGUAAAAGAGAGAUCUCACUCGAUAACCUUUUUGGUCUAUUUUUUUUGUUAUUGAUAACAUUAUACUAUUGGUAUGACAUAUACGUAAAAGACUAUAUUAUCUUUUUGAAUUGAACUCUUGUGGCCGUAUGGGAAAUAUCAAUAACGUGCACCAUGUGACGUGGCUCGAGCCAAGGCAGCUAAUGAAGAACUAUAUUAGUUGCAUAUAUAUAAAUUCGACUAUAUAUUAUAAUGUAAACACAAAAAAUGUGAUAACAUGAAAUUGAAACACGAAGGCCGAAGCUAAGUAUAAAGAAGCAAAUAAUAAUUGGAAUCGUACGAAAUCUUAAAACUAAUUCUCUUUUAUUCCUAACGAACAGCUAACCGUCGGCAAAAGAAAUGAAAAAAAAAAAAAAAAUCAUAACAAUCUUGAAGAAGCAUGAUUCUUGCCAUUUCUUCAAGCAUACCAACAAAUAUUAUUGUCUUUGUGUCUUCCUUAGUUUGGCUAUUCAACUUUUCUAUUUCUACAGUAUAUCUUAAUUUAUUUCUCUCUUCUAACCUCCCUUUAUAUCCUUCCUUAGUACAACAUUUUCAAACAUACUUACAUAGUAUUAAAGACAGUUCUCUUACGUUAAAGUAAAGACAUCUGUUAUGGUUUUGAAGAAACGGUGUCAAAACAUUAAAUUAAAGUUCAUUAACUAGUUUUAAAUGUUUCCCUAGCGUUUAUGGUAUUGCCAACAUCUCAUAACAACUAGAUAUAUUUUUCUAAUACAACAUAUGAUACUAUAAGUUAAUAAUAAAUCAAAAUUUUCGUACACGAUUUGAAUACACAGACUAUAGUAUAUUUCGAAAGCAUGAAUCAUAUAAGUUAGAAAAUAUCGGUAAUUUGCAUUUAGCGUUUAUAUCAUUUUACUAGGUUUAGUUAGACCCAUGCUAUGAGUAGAAUACUAUAUAGAUUUGACAAUGUGUAUUAUUGAAUGUUGAUAUUAUGAGGAAAUGAAGAUAGAAGAAUGGGAUUGACGAGUGAGUUGGCAGUCGGUGGGAGAAGGUGGCCUGGUCAAAACUCC
rnacentral:lncRNA from 1 species